rnacentral:lncRNA from 1 species
GUAAGAAGAGCCUAGCGCCAGCAAAAGGUCACAAGACUCUGACCAAGACAGAGAAGAUUCACUGCCUGCCUGAGAUUGCACAUGUAGCUCCUGCCACAAGAAGACUUUGAUCACCACUUGCUCUUCCCCUGAUUUCCCUGAUAAACUCUGGUAUGGAGCCACCAUUUGAAGAGGUAGCCUUUGCAUUGUGAUGCUACCAUUUUGCACUCUCACAAGAAAGAGAUGAGAUCUCCUGUUGCUCUGCAUCCUGACCAGCAUAUAGCUUCAGAGUUGUACUACCACUGAUGGCAGCGGUGGCUGGUGUGGAACAGCCGCUGUGAAGAUGCUGGCUGCAGCAUGGGAGGCAUGACCAGGGCUGCAGAC